rnacentral:misc_RNA from 1 species
GAUGAAGAACGCAGCGAAAUGCGAUAAGUAAUGUGAAUUGCAGAAUUCAGUGAAUCAUCGAAUCUUUGAACGCACAUUGCGCCCGCCAGUAUUCUGGCGGGCAUGCCUGUUCGAGCGUCAUUUCAACCAUCAAGCCCCAGGCUUGUGUUGGAGCCCUGCGGCUGCCGCAGCCUCCCAAAACCAGUGGCGGGCUCGCUAUCACACCGAGUGCAGUAGUUUACUCUUCGCUCAGGGCGUGUGGCGGGUGCUAGCCGUAAAACCCCCAACUUCUCAAGGUUGACCUCGGAUCAGGUAGGAAUACCCGCUGAACUUAAGCAUAUCAAUAAGCGGAAGA